rnacentral:lncRNA from 1 species
UCAAAAAUAAUAUUGGUAGGAUAUUGCAGAGAUCUUCAUGGAUAAUUCUGAUGAAAAUUAAUGAUAUCCAUGUGAUGUUUAAUUUUCACAACAGCAUUCAGUUUAAGAAUGGUAGAUAAAGCAGAUAAAAAUAAUUAACGGUACAGAAUGAUAGGUGCCAUCCACAACAGCCAUAAGGUGCAUUUGGUUUAUAAUAGCCUGUAUCAUCACUAUAAAGGAGCCUUAUCAAUCUUCAUCAAGUCCCUUUGCAACUAACCACCUUCAACCUUGAAUUUAUGCAGUCAUUUAAAUAAUCAAAAUUUGUCCUACUAAACCCAUAACACAAAAGAUCACCGCAUGUCCUUUAAGCCAAAAUGGAACAGUAAUAUGUGCAUCAAAAUAGACAUGUAAUAGGCUGAAACUUAGUUUACAGUGACCAUGUUGCAUUGUUGCUUUCAGUUGAUCACCUUUAUGAGAAACUACAGACUUUACAGAAACCAAUUCAAGAACCACAAAUCAGGCAUGUUGCCUGACAUUUAGGAGCUUACAAUAGAAGCAUAAAAUGGCGAACAGUUCCAGCUCCAAAGAACUAAAUAUACAUUCGUUGGUAAAAUUAUUCUUCAGCAUUACAACAAUGGCUUCGCACAAAUAGCUCAAGGAAUCAAAUUUAAAAAUCCGAGGAACUAUCGCUUGGCUCUACCAAUAGGAUUUAACUAAGCCAAAACUCCGACUGAUAAAUUGUAAGAACUAGAGAGAAUUUUUCAUCACAGUGUUUCACGCUAAACUUACAUCUUAGUGACUCCAUGUCAAAAUUGCUCAGGCAUUCACUGGCAAAGGAAAGAACAAGACCUGCAAAAAAAACUUAUACAUAGUUACCUGUUUGCAGUAAUUUUUUACGAGAUAAAUAUCAUCAUGUACACUCCCAGAUAAAGAAAUAUUAAGCAAAUCAUUUUGUCACCACUUUAGUUUUUUUCAUGAAUAUACCAAAACCAUUACCAAAAAAAAAGAACUAAGUUCGCUACUGUUCUGUACAUUACUCAAAAUGCAACAAUUAGAUAUAUGAUGAUAUUAAACAGCCAUGUUAGAAACAAAGAGUGGGUCUCAUCCUUGGAGUUUGACUAUCCUAACUGGAUAACUAUCAUAAGAAUUGAAGAACACAAUUUGUGCAUGAUAUGCAAUAGACAUUAUUUAUAACACCAUGCAAUCAUUGCAAUUCUCAAAUAGAAGAAACAUAUGCAAUUCUGACAUGUUUGGUCAGCUUCCAGUCACGAUAAACUAACAGAGGGUUGAACUUGAUCCUUUAUCUCUCAUCACUAAUCAUCAAGGGCUUAAGUAGCAGUAAAUAAAACAUUUGCCAUACAAUACAUACUGCACCACUAGGUCAUUGACACAAUACAAAGGAGAAAAGUUG